rnacentral:rRNA from 1 species
GUUAGGAAUAUUGGACAAUGGGCGAAAGCCUGAUCCAGCCAUGCCGCGUGAACGAUGAAGGCCUUCGGGUUGUAAAGUUCUUUAGCCGAUGAUUAUAAUGACUGUAGUCGGAAAAUAAGCCCCGGCUAACUUCGUGCCAGCAGCCGCGGUAAUACGAAGGGGGCGAGCGUUAUUCGGAAUCACUGGGCGUAAAGCGUGCGUAGGCGGUUUUGUAAGUUAGGAGUUAAAGACCAGGUCUCAACCUUGGAAUUGAUCUUAAAACUGCAAUGCUCUAAUCUCGGAGAGGAUAGCGGAAUUUCCAGUGUAGCAGUGAAAUGCGUAGAUAUUGGAAGGAACACCAGUGGCGUAAGCGGCUAUCUGGACGAGUAUUGACGCUGAGGCACGAAAGCGCGGGGAUCAAACAGGAUUAGAAACCCCGGUAGUCC